UGAACCUUAAACUAUGUACCUACAUAGACUUUGAACCUUAAUUGGCCCGUUAUCAGAUGUGAAUGUUGCCUUGAAUGAUAUUAACCAUACUUAACUUUUAUUACCAAGGCACUGAAAUUGCUUGUAAGAGAAGGAUAAUAAUUGUCUUGCACUUUCAACUUGAAAUUCUCUGCGUACAAUCAUCUCUGUUGGAUGUAUGCAGACAUGAAUUCUGCAAUCUUGUGCUUUAGUUCAGAAUAUUAUUUAGUAACAAUUCAAUUUCCUCCAAUGCACAGAAUUUGGCCUGCUUUACAAUUGAAGGAGUUAAAUUAGCAGCAUGUUAAAUUUCUUCCAUCUGUCUCCUUUGUGCUCAUCAGAGGUUCCAGUUUACAAGUUAAUAUGCAUUAGUUUUAGAAAAUAUUGGCCAAGUACAAAGAAGUAUAUCCCUUCCCUAGGAACCUCUGGCUUUCCAAGAAAUAAAUGUUUUCUGUUUGUUUGCAGUUGCAAGCUUUCAUCAAAUAGGAGAUGCAAAGAAAUGAACUUACUGCUGCUUUUGUCAAUGAUGAACUGGUAUUCUUUCUGGUAUGUUCUUGAGUACCAGCUGCCAUCUUCUGUACAUGAAGAUUUACUUGAAUUGCUGGUAUAAUUCAUUUUAUGGUAUUUCAGGCUUCUGCUUUCAUUACCUUCCCUAUACUGGGUUCUUGGAUGCUGCUUUUAACAUAGUUCAGCUAGGUGAAGAAAUCUUCUUUUAGGGGGUAGUGUCUUACCCUGAAAUAGUAGGUGACAUCCAAGCUGUUGCACUUUGUUUUCUCUGAUCUCUUUUACAGAUUGGUUUUUGAUAUUAAAAGGUGAAAGAAGAGUUAGACACAUUACUGCGUACAGCACCGGGUCAUUUUGUUGCCAAUGAGUCAAUUUUACAUGGAAGUAUUCCAGGGUCCAGAUCAAUACAGUAUGAUAUUCAUUGACCCAAAUGUUGAUUUUUGAGGCUUAAGAUAUUUGCAUCUAUUUGUAGCCUAAUCAAAAUUGGAGUCGAUCAUUGAAUUGAUUGUGUACAAAGAUACGCAGACAUUUACACACUGGGAGCGUUUCACGUCCAUGACAAUUUUAGUCAUUUUCUUUAAAAAAAAAUGUUGGGAUUUGAAUUUUAAAUCUUUUUUUCUUAAAAAGUUGGUUUCGGUAACGCCGUUGAUGAAACUAAAGAACAGCCGUGGCAUCCAUGAGUGAAGAUUAACUAUUAAACAAAAACAAAUGAGGAAAGUGGUGAGGAGGAAUCCCAGAUUUUUGUUAAAAGAAAAAGGAAAACGUGAAUUCAUUCAUGAUUCAUCAUCUCUCUGUAGUCGGUCAUCAUGAAAUCAACGUAAAGAAAGGCAAAUGGCAGGCGAUAUGGCAAUUCCUUGAUGAAGGUAUUUCAAGCCUUGCAAAAAAACAAAAACUUCCUUUGUUUCUUUUUCUUUUUUUUGUCUCCUUCCGAAGUCACAAGGCUAAUCCAUAAUUGAGACUGAAAAAAGCAAAAAUGGAAGAGUCGACAUGGGAGCAAAAGCUCCAGGCUCUAACCCACAUCCUAACAAGCCCCACAACCUCACCGCCUCUCCACUCUCAACUCUUCAUCUCCACACAAAUACCAUGUUUCCUCAACUGGGAUUUCCCUCCAAUUCUCUGCAAUAAACCCAACUCCCAUACCUUCCCUUCUCUCCACCUGAAAUGGGGAAUCUCUCUUUUCCUCAGAAGGGUCUCAAGAUUGGGUGUCCCCGAAACUUCCUGGAGGUCCAAGUGCCCUUACUAUCAGCCCCCACCACUGAUUCUGGCCAAGGGAGUGGAUGAAGCACAAUGGGUCGAUGCGCAAAAGCGAGAGUAUGUUAGGAAGAGGCUGAGAAGGAAACGCCUAGAAAGCCAUGUCCACCCUUUAAUUCCGAUUUUGAUUCCCGAUUUAUUAUUGUUCUCCCUGCUCUGGUUCAAUCCAUUUCCUCUUAAUGAUUCCUGACAAUUUUCCUUGUCUCAGAAUUGUAUAAUAAUAAGUACAUAACUCUUAUGUCUUAUCACUUCUCUUGUCAACGUUGGAUCAUUUUAUUUACUUUGGUCGAUUUCGGAUUUCUUUCUCGGUAGCACUGUUGUUUGCCUUAUCAAAAUCUCUACUCUCAGAAAUUUUUCUUUCUUUUAUAGAAGAUGAUGAUGAUGAUGAUGAUGAUGAAAAGGGGCUUAAAUUGAGGCCCCAAGUAAAUUAAUUAGAAGCUACAACAUCAUAAAGCAAAAUCAGUAAUAAAGAGUUCUGAUUCACUUUGCUUAAUAUAGAAUUUACCUUUGCCAGUUAAGCCCGCCUGUAAUUUUGGUUAACGUCUAAACAUGCAUUUAUUUAUUUAUUUACAACUUACCUCAUUAAUUUUCUCCCCAUGUAUAACCCACCAAACUCCAACUGCACUACCUGAAACUCUUUAUUCGGUUUAGUUAAAUCUGGCCUCCACUUUACCACAACAUAGUGGGGCUGGCCAUCGCCUCCACUUUAUUCAAUACAUUCAGCUUCUAGAAUUCCAAAAACAAUACAUCAUGAUUUGUUUAUUAUGUUACUUUAAUUUUUUUUCCCCUUUUCGUCUAGUCUUGUUUUAUAUUAGCAGUGUUGAUCGUUGAUAAAGGUUGAAGUUUCGGAUUUUAAUGUUUGAGUUUAAGUUCUACCAUCUAUAAUUGCAAUACGGGUCUCUCUUACCUUGUGUAUAUGCGGUGUGUUUUAUCUAAUUAUUUUUAGAUUUUACUAUGUUUUUGUUCAGUUCUUCAUCUAUUAUGAAUUGCAUCAGUUGAAUUUUACGUUAUAAUUUAUUGAACAUAUAUUUAUUUUUGUCUUCUAAUUGUACAAUUUUUAUACCAGUGAAUUUUUUUAAAAAAAAUCAUGUGAUUAUGGAAUAUACGACAUAUAUUUAUGAAAUUUUAAGAAAAGAAAAAAAGAAAUGUUAAGUAUACACCAUUUUCAGUCACAUUAGAAUCCUGUUAAUACAUUAUUUCUACGGCUUCUACAUCACUAAACUGAUGAUCACAUUGGAUACUACCUUUUCUUUUCUUUUUGACUUAAUAGUAUUAAUGGUUUUCGAGUUUGGCAAACAUUUUUUUUCAAAAUUGGGUAGGAUUCGAUGGCCAGAUUGAUACAAUCUUUGUACGGCCGAAACGCUUCCCUACCGUUAAUCAAGCAACCAAACUUCACUUAAUCCAAGGAAAAGAAGAAAAGCAAAAAGUAAAAGCCAAAAGAAAAAUUAUUCAAUUGAUUGGUCAAACACUAACGUUGACAAUAAAGCUUCUUUUUUUUUUUAACUCUCUACCAUUGAUCUUUUAUUCCACCCCUUCCUUACAGCUUUUUGUUGUUGUUGUUUUCUAAAACAGAACCUCAUAAUAUCAGACAUAUUGGGACUCUGAAAAUUCAACCUUCAGGGAGAAAAAAUCCUUCUUGUUUCCAUUAUGUUUAUUUUGUUAUAGAUGGAGGCAUCGGUGCUUGAGUUGUGAAUGCAUAAGCAUGAACCAUAAAGUUCAAUCAAGAUAUGAGGAGAAUCUUCUUUUUCCUUUAUCUUUGCUUUUCUGUUUUUCCUUUGUUGAUGGCGCCAAACGUAGUCUUAAAGUAUAUUAGAUACAUCUGGUGACCAACAUUCAAUUAUAAUAAAGAGUAUAGAUAGAUACAUCAAUACUAUCCAGCCCUCUUUCAUGAUGAUGUUGCAAGUUUUGCACUCCACCCCCAUAUUAUUAUGAAGAGGAGAAAUUCCUGUUAGUUGAGCUUUAUUUUCUAAGAAAUGACUUCUAACAUUAAUAAAUUUGAAUCAUGAUAUAUUUAUAGCUAUUUCUCUUACUCUCUCGUAUUAUAGCUUUCUUUAUAUGCUAAAACAGGAGAUGAGUAGGAAGAAACAAUUUUUGUUAAAAGACGUGAAGUUGUCUUAAGAUUGACAAGGCAGUUAGAUGCAUUUAAAUUGGUAUUUAAGGAUAUGUCUGUAUAUAACUAGAACUAAUUAAGAUUACAAUACACUGCAAAAUGAUUCCACCUUUUUUUUUGGGGGGUUCUCUCUUUUAUAUGAUCAAAUACAAUGUUGAUAUGAACAAGGUUUUGCAGUUGUAGAAAAUCGUGGAGGACUUUUUUUUUUACAAAAAAGAAAGAUAAAAUUCAUAAAAAAUGUGAAGUUAAGCAUAUUUAGCGACGGGUGGGGUAUGGGGUGGUUUGCUAACAUGGAAUGCGCAUGGCAGAUUGGCACUUUAAAGAAGGGAUGGGGCCGAGGGGGCGGGAGUUGUUAAAUCCUCGGGGUAGAAAAAGGUAAGUAAGCGUGUCCCUGGCAUUAGACAAGGAGUAGAGGGGGCAGCACAUGCACAGCAUAACUAUAUCUCUUUAUUUUAUGUCCCACUCCACUCCCCCUCAUCUCUGCCGCAACAUUAAAUACCAUAUGCAUCCUUACUAUUCAUAAUGGUUUUUUGUUGGGUUGAUGUUACAAAAUUACAAUUUUACUAUAGAUGUAUUUAUAAUAUUUAAGAUUUUUUUAAGUAGGAGUUUAAUCUUUGGUGGUGAUGUUGAUUUUAGAUAUAUUCCCCACCCGCAAGUAGAUAUCAUACAUUCUAAUAUAAUUAAAAAUGGUAUAAUUAAAAUAUUUUUAAUAUUUUUAAUAUUAUUUUUAUAUUUUUGAAUUUUUAAAUUUUAAAAAAUUAAUUAAAUGUUGGUGCGUCAUCUACAUGUAUGCAACGGCGAAGCUUAAAAAAUAUUAAUUUUUUUCAUUCGUGAUUUGACAAAAAAAAGUAAGUUUAAAGGCUAAAAAAGCAUAAAUUUAAAUAAAUAGCUAAAAUAAUUUUUUUACAAAGUUAGAGAGCCAAAUAAAUUAUUAUUUUAUUUAAAAAUAUUUUUUUAAUAAAUUAUUAAUUUAGUCACAUAAUCUAAUAUAAUUUAAUUCAAACCCGUUGGUUCCAUCAACAAAUUGAUCUGCAUGAGACUUAAGGGUUAGAAUUUGGUGCGUAACUCUUUUUCCUCCUAAUUUUUACUUUUAAAAAGAAAUUGCAAUACAAUUUUUUUAUUAUAGAAUUCUCCAAUUUUUAUUUAUUUAUUUGAUCAGGAAGCUUUAUUGACACUGCUUUUAUUUUUCCAUCAAUCCAAUUUAAGAGACAAUUCACUUUUUAUAAUUAACAAAAAACAAAAAGAAAAUAAAAGAAAUUACUUUUUCCUUUUUCGUGUUCGAUACAAGAUAGAUGAAAUAUGGAAAAUAAAAUGCAAUGAAAAUAUAUUAUUAGUGAUAUAUCACCUCCAUUAUGUAGGGGAAAGAAAUAAAAAUAAUAUUAAUUUAUGAUACUUUCAUAAUGUGGUUAAAAAUAAUUAUCUAGUAUUUUUUUGUAAAAAAAAAGGAAAGUUGAUAUCUAUGCUACUAAUGAAGUUUCUUAGUGAGUUUGUUACUAAUCAUAUUCGAAUUUUAAAAAUUGUGAAUUUUUAAAAAAUAAGUUAUUUAUAUAACUAGUAAUAUACUAUUUUGACUCUUUUUUUAUCCGAGUUAAUGUUAGUUAUCUCGUGAUACCAAUUCAAUAAAACACUUUAUUUAUAUUAAAUUAAUAUAGGUGAGAAGUAAAAUUAUUUAACAAAUAUAUUCUUAAAAAUACUAAAGGAGGUUUUGGUUGAAUAGCAAAAUAUAAAUAUUACAAAUUAUAAAGAUGUAGGUUCAAUAUUUUUACUAUUUUUCUAUAUAAAAUGAUAACCUUAUAAAAGUAGUUUGUGGUUGAUGGACUAAUUUUUUAAAAAGAAUUAAUAUUAGUAAAGAUAUAUAUGGUACUAAACAUAAGGAAAUAGGGGAAAACGUAUCAUAUUUGUAGUGGGAGAAUGGGAUCAUUACAAGGAAAAAUGAAAUAUAUAUCAUUAACAACAAACAUAAAAGAAAGCGUCUUUUGAUAAAGUUGUUAUUGGUGUAAUGUGAAGGGACCACAAUCAUCACCAUUCACCACUUGCUCCUAAUUGAGUUGAAAUCUUUUUACAACAUAGAAAACUAGAACAUCUCCCUUUCUUGCUUCCUAUAUAUAGAUUUUGUAUCAUCGCAAUUCCACAUCACACACGCAAGCAAAGCAAAGCAUUAGCAACCAUAGCCAUGGCUUCCUCACCAAAACUCUUCUCUAUGUCUAUCCUCUUCCUUUUUGCCCUCUUCUCCAUGCAAAUCCAUGCUAGAGAGUACUUCAGCAAAUUCCCAAGAGUUAACACCAAUGAGAAAGAGACAACAACCAGAGAGCAAGAGCACGAGACCUUCGUUCCCCAGACCACCCAAAAGCCAGAAGAGCAAGAGCCAAGGUUCAUCCCUGAAACCCAAAAUGGUUAUGGCCUUUACGGCCACGAGUCAGGCUCAGGCUCAAGCCGGCCCAGUUUCACCACCAAAGAAACCUAUGAACCCUAUGUCACCCCUGUUAGAUUCCACCCUGAUGAACCCUAUAACAGCAUCCCCGAAUCCUCCAACAAUAAAGACACUUACUACUACAACAAGAAUGCCUACAAGUCCACUAAGCAGCAAAACUUGGGCGAGGCCAUUUUCACCGAGAAAGGAUGGAGCACCAAGGAAAACCAGAACAACAACUACUACAACGGCAACAUUAAUGGCGAGAAGCAAGGCAUGAGCGAUACUAGGUACUUGGAGAAUGGAAAGUACUACUAUGACGUCAAGAGUGAGAACAGCUAUUAUCCAAACCAGCUCGACAACUCAAGAGGAGUUGCUUCCAGGAACGAGUUCGAUGAGAAUCGUUACAACAACAUGGGAAGGUACCACCAGAACCAAGAGGAGUUCGAGGAAAGCGAGGAAGAGUUCGAACCCUGAUCACCUGUCGUACAGUAUUUCUACAUUUGAUGUGUGAUUUGUGAAGAACAUCAAACAAAACAAGCA
rnacentral:lncRNA from 1 species